GGCAAAGCAAGAGAGUCCUUUGUUUCCAGAGGAAGUUGCAGACAGGGAUCAAUUGAAACAAGUUGAAUUUGUUGUUGAAAGGGAUUGGAGUAAAUUGAAAGAUGCCUCCUUGAUUGAAGUUGAGUACAAUAUUGGACUUGAAUUGAUAGUAGAUCAACUAUUGCGUUUGUUGAAUUUGAAUCCUGUA